UCCAGACUCCUACGGGAGGCAGCAGUGGGGGAUAUUGCACAAUGGGGGAAACCCUGAUGCAGCGACGCCGCGUGGGUGAAGAAGUAUUUCGGUAUGUAAAGCCCUAUCAGCAGGGAAGAAAGAAGACGGUACCUGACUAAGAAGCCCCGGCUAACUACGUGCCAGCAGCCGCGGUAAUACGUAGGGGGCGAGCGUUAUCCGGAUUCACUGGGUGUAAAGGGAGCGUAGACGGCCGUGCAAGCCAGGAGUGAAAGCCCGGGGCUCAACCCCGGGACUGCAUUUGGAACUGUAAGGCUAGAGUGUCGGAGAGGCAGGCGGAAUUCCUAGUGUAGCGGUGAAAUGCGUAGAUAUUAGGAGGAACACCAGUGGCGAAGGCGGCCUGCUGGACGAUGACUGACGUUGAGGCUCGAAAGCGUGGGGAGCAAACAGGAUUAGAUACCCCUGUA
rnacentral:rRNA from 1 species